rnacentral:lncRNA from 1 species
GUAGGAUGGAGCUACGAUCCUAUACACACACUGCCCAGGGCUUGCGUUGGCUCCUGCCACCCAAAUCAGCCCCCGUCCUGUGGCUGAUUAUGCAGAAAGCACUGCUUUACAUAGUAUGUACUUAUAUAGGGUGCGUACAGUGAAUCUGGUUGGGUUCCUUUCCUAGCAAAUCAGUAUUUUAGGAAAUAGCUGGUGGGUUUCGGGGUCUUAGCUCAAGGCAACCUAGAAGAAAGCCCAGUUGUCAAGCCUGCCAGAUCAGGCCCAGAAACCAGGAAACACCAGAGUAACCAAGUCCUAAAGACACAUGUGGACAAACAGCUGGGACUGCCGUGUCCACUCACAGCAUCCAGAGGUCACCGGUGACAUAAGGAGGUCCCAAUGGAGCCCAAAAUACCCAACCAGAGCUGCUCAGUCUCUCAUAGCUGGGGGCAGUUUGUGACCCUCAGUAUUGUCCAGGUUGACCUGCAGCUGCUCAGUGCCUCCAGCAAGCUUGCAGGCUCACCACCUUGGCGUACUGGUAACGUGCAGAAUCAAAGUCCACAACCCAUGUAAGAUUUUAAAGUAGGCAUGUUUAUUGUGGCACCGUGUGCG